GCGAAUCUAGUUUGGCUGGAUAGAGUAUUGGCUACGAACCAAGUGUUUGUAGGUUCGACUCUUCCGAUUCGCA
rnacentral:tRNA from 1 species